CCAUAAUGCAACACCCCCUGCUGACAUUCCACCAAACAAGUGUGUGCUUUUGUCUGAUUCGACCCUGCCCAGCUUUUUACACCUGCAUGGAAUUACCUUUUAAAGUAUCAUCAGAAGCAGCCGAGGUGAUAAAACUAAACGCCUCCUCGUGCCAAAGGGCAGGGGGUGUUUCAUUAUGGUGGAGCAUUAUGGCAGAGAUCAAUCGAGAUCGGAGCACACAUGAUGGAGGUGGGUUAACACCGUGUGCAUUUACAAGAGUUCACGAACGAAUUGUAAACGGAUUAAAAAACACAACAAACUGCAAGAGUCUCGGCGGAGCGUCUUCACCGAGCGAGGGAAGACUUCACCGAAAUGACGUCACGGAGAUUCCCGAAAACUCCAACCUGAGUGUCGUUUUCCACCCUCCCCCUCAACACACACACACACACACACACACACACACACACACACACACACACACACACACACACACACACCACACACACACACACACACACACACACACACACACACACACACACACACACACACACACACACACACGUCACGAGACGAAGGGAGGUGUGAAUUGGAGGUUGUACGAGGAAACACCUCAAAUGCCCUUUUUUGGUGUUUCAUCGACACAUCCAGCGGUUCGACAGUUACCGAAGUCCACACACUAUCAGCGUCGCGAUGUACACACGGAUGGACAACGUUUUAAACAUGGACACAUCGUUCCGCUGGCUCCUUCUGUUCAUCGAUCUCUACCUUUUACUGUCCUCGGCGAACGCAACCGCCGACACAGAACCACUGGAUGAAGAGAUCAAGAAAAAGUGUAACUUCUCUCUCAAUGAAAUCCAAGACUGUAAGCACCGUGCCUGUAUGGAAACAAAUUUACAAUGUCAGAAAUUGAAGAAUGACCAGGACACAGUAGAAAGUUGUCAAAUUGAUGAGUGCAUGAAAGGAAAAAAAAGAUGCGAAAAAGUUCUGAACAGAUAUCUCACUGAUGAACAAAUUUGCGAGGGAGACGAGUUUUCAAACGUGGACGGAUAUUGUAUGAAGUCACAUCGAAAGUCGCUCAAAGAUCUCAUAGAAUGCAAGACAACCGGCUACCUGGAUGCGAAGAAAACUUGUUUUAAGUUGGACUACAAAGGCCGCAUCCAGAAACAGGCAAUGAAAGAAUUUAAUAAAAAGACAUGCGAUGAAGCCUUACAAUGCACGCUGGAUAACUGCUUUGAAGAUGUGCAACAAUGUCUGCGGAAUUAUCAUGAGAAGUUGUCUAUGGAUCCAGGGAAAUACAGACAUUUUGAGCUUAGCCACUGUGCCUACAUUGCAGUCGAUUAUCCUCACGAGUGUGAGACAUUCACAUCCACCUCUUGUUCAAAGGAGCUGAAGGAGUGCAAUGGCAAAUGUGCUUUAUCAUCCCUUGGAAUUGGUGUUGGUGUGGUUAUUUUGGUUAUUCUGGCAAUAAUCAUACUGGCUGGAAUCGCCGUAUGGUGUGCCCGACGUCGACGACAUCGUUCUCCUGCAACCUGUAACUUUUGCUGUCUGUCUGAAGCCCCACUCCUAACUGAAAACAAACUUUAUAACACAAAACGUAAUACACAUACGUCGUCACUGCAUUUUUGUUCUCUGCACUGAUAACGAGGAUCAUUGAAGAGCUGUUGAGUAUGUCGUAGAGAUUGAGGGAAGGAACAGAAUAUGAUAUGAGAUGGUAAUGAAGCACCACCUUGGAUGGUUGGAGGGUCGAACAAGGUAUCCAAUUGACAAAGGGUAUUCUAAAAAGUGAAAUCAAAAGUAGAGUAAAAUGCUGGAUAUGAUCAAUGAGGAGGAAGAGGAGGAGCUUGGGACCAUACUCUGUGCAGAGCAUUGGUGCUGCUUAAGCAGUCCCCUUGGCUAUUGGGCACAAUCCUGGAUGGGUCGCCACUCUGACACAGUAUACCAGCACACUCCAACACAGUGUAAUGCACACCUGUUAUCCUCAUUGUCAUGUCAAGCUUGGAGCAAUCAGAUGGCACUCAUUUUGCCGACCUCGGAAGGAUGACAGGCCAAGUUAACCCCACCUGGUAUUUAUUCAACAGGUGAGCAGGAUUUGAAGUCUGGACCCUCGGAUCCAAAGCCCACCACCCUAACCAUUAAGCCAACACCAGGCAUCAAUGAGCUUUAACAUUAAGACAUUAAUAGCUCUUCAAUGACCCCUGUGGUUGGAUUUGGUGGAUAGCAGAGAGACAACGAGCUGUCAUACCGAAUGGCUCAAGAGCGUCGAACACAUCUGAAGUCAGUAGAUUUUGAUGACGAAUUGAUAAAGGACUCAGCAAAUAAGUAUAAUUAACAUCAUCCAACAGAAUAGUUCUUUAAUGAUGAGACACAAUAUGCCAAACCACCAUAUGUGUAUGUGUGUGCACCUUAUCCUGCAGUAUUUCACAGGUUCCUUUUCUGGGGACUAUGGGGAGAAUGUAAAAAACGGAUUUGGCUUUCGUUAUCCAUCAUUCCUUAUUUUGAUGUUGUCCUGGUUAUUCUGGUUAUAUUCUACGUGGCUGAUUCAUUUUAAUAUUCUUCAUCUUUUCAUUGGUUUUAGGACUUGAGCCUGUCUGCUGUGAGUUCCUGAGGUAAGCAGCUUUUGGCACAUGUUUCUGGAGUAAACAAUGAAAUAGAUGCUUAAAACAGUGUGCAUAGAACUACAAUUUUCCAUAUUAACUGCAAAAAGCCAUAUAACAGGUUGCAUUCUGCAAAUUUUCUCCACUAUCAUUUAACUCCUUCAUGAGCCAAUAUUUUGGUAAUUAAAAAAUAAAAUAAAAUGUGUCCAAGUGAAUGAAGUAUUGUCAGUCCUGGAGUAGAAAUCAAGUACAGGACGUGCAAAUACAAGAAAUGAAAUUUUGCUUCGUCCAAGCACUAAACAACAUGAUGUGCAGGUAGUACAGAUACAUGAGGACCCUGAAGGUUAUACACGGAGGUAUAAUAGGACAUUGGUGUGGCCACAUUAUUUUAACAGCACGUUUUUCACACAGGAGCCCAGGCUUGGAAAUGUGAUGCAUACCUUUUGUCCUCAUUUGUCACGUCAAGCAUGGAGCAAUCAGAUGGCACAUUGCAGAAUGAAUCGCUCUGACAAGCCAUUUCCAUUCUUCCAUGUGCUGGAAAACCAAAAUGCACAACCAACAAAUAAGUAAACCAUAGCACACAUAUGGAUUUGAAAUAUAUGUAAACCAUAGCACACAUAUGGAUU
ensembl:lincRNA